rnacentral:rRNA from 1 species
UACGGGGGGGGCAAGCGUUGUUCGGAAUUACUGGGCGUAAAGCGCACGUAAGCGGUCUAACAAGUCUGGCGUGAAAUCCUCUGGCUUAACCAGGGGCGGUCGCUGGAGACUGUUAAACUUGAGGCGAUGAGAGGGGUGCAGAAUUCCCGGUGUAGUGGUGGAAUGCGUAGAUAUCGGGGGGAAUACCAGUGGCGAAAGCGGCACCCUGGCGUCGUACUGACGCACAUGUGCGAAAGCGUGGGGAGCGAACGGG